UACGGAGGUGGCAAGCGUUACUCGGAAUCAUUGGGUGUAAAGGGCAAGUAGGCGGUCUAUUAAGUGAGGGGUGAAAUCUCCCGGCUCAAUCGGGAAUCUGCCUUUCAAACUAAUAGACUUGAGGUCAGUAGGGGGAAACGGAAUUAGCGGUGUAAGGGUGAAAUCUGUAGAUAUCGCUAAGAACACCGGCGGCGAAGGCGGUUUCCUGGUCUGAUCCUGACGCUAAAUUGCGAAAGCUAGGGGAGCAAACAGAAUUAGAUACUCUGGUAGUCCUAGCCGUAAACGAUGAGCACUAGGUGUUGGUCCUUGUGAUCAGUGCCGCAGCUAACGCAUUAAGUGCUCCACCUGGGAACUACGGCCGCAAGGCUAAA
rnacentral:rRNA from 1 species